GAUGCUGUGGCUUAACUGGUUUUAAAGUGCCUGUCUAGUAAACAGGAGAUCCAGGGUUCAACUCCCUGCAGCACCU